GCUGUGUGGGGAAAAGAAGAGGCAAUCAGGAGUUCUCUCCAGGCACUCUUGUGAGUUACAUAAGGGCUUCCUGUUGAAACCAUUUCUUGGCCCCGGGGCUUCUGUGAAGCCGGCGAGCUAUCCUGUAAGCUGGCACGAUGCCACUGUAACAGAUGGCCAGCAGUGCAGGCAGCAGAGACCAUGGAGGAGCAUCGCAAGUGAAUGCUGAGGGAGACGCGGGUUCAAUCCCUGGAUCAGGAGGAUCCCUUGGAGAAGUAAAGGCAACCCACUCCAGUAUCCUUGCCUGGGGAAUCUCAUGGACAGAGGAACCUGUGUGGUGGGAUGGCUAGAUGUUGGAGGAUCCUUCCUGCUAUUCUAAGAAGAUUGGGCAUCAUGCUGGGCAAAGGAAAUUAACAAGGCAUGCGGGGUCUUUGCUCCCCCAGCAGGGAUGGAACCUGUACCCCUCUGCACCGCCGCGUUGUAAGCAAGCGUGUCUACAUGCUCAGUUGUGUCCAACUCUUUGCGACCCGAUGGACUGUAGCCCUCCAGGCUCCUCCGUCUGUGGGAUUUUUCCAGACAAGAAUACUGGACAGACUCUGGGGUGGUUCUCAGAAGUAAGAGGUCAAGCUAAAGAUUUUGGAGUCUUCUUCCAACUCUGGAUAAUUGAAACCAAAAAAGGAACACACUUACAAAACUUGAAAAAAUAUUCAUUAUAUCAAAAUGGAAAUUAUUUUCGUAUUUCUUCAAAAUGUGUAUGGCUUACAAGUUUUUACAUUUCUUUCUUUUGAGGUUUUUUUAAAAAUUUUUUAAUUUAGCUAGUGAUGUGUAGUUAUCUUUGCUUCCCUCCUUUUUAUUAUUAUGCUUUUUUUUGCAUUAAAGUUACCUCUGGAGUGUAAAGCAAGUGUUUGCUUCCUGCUUUGGAAACUUUCUGUGGUUAUUCAGAUUGGCACCACGUCACUGCCAGGUUAAUAGAGCUUCUUUAAAU
ensembl:lncRNA